UACGAAGGGGGCUAGCGUUGCUCGGAAUUACUGGGCGUAAAGGGCGCGUAGGCGGAUGUUAAGUCAGGGGUGAAAUCCCGGGGCUCAACCCCGGAACUGCCUUUGAUACUGGCAUUCUUGAGUCCGGAAGAGGUGAGUGGAAUUCCGAGUGUAGAGGUGAAAUUCGUAGAUAUUCGGAGGAACACCAGUGGCGAAGGCGGCUCACUGGUCCGGAACUGACGCUGAGGUGCGAAAGCGUGGGGAGCAAACAGG
rnacentral:rRNA from 1 species